CUACGGGAGGCAGCAGUUAGGGAUAUUCGGCAAUGGGGGAAACCCUGACCGAGCAAUGCCGCGUGAAUGAAGAAGUAUUUCGAUAUGUAAAGUUCUGUUGUUAAGGAAGAAAGGUACGAAUAGGAAAUGAUUCGUAAUUGACGGUACUUAACCAGAAAGCCCCUGCUAACUACGUGCCAGCAGCAGCGGUAAUACGUAGGGGGCGAGCGUUAUCCGGAAUUAUUGGGCGUAAAGGGUGCGUAGGCGGCCUGUCAAGUCCGAGUUGAAAGCCCACGGCUUAACCGUGGAGGGUGCUCGGAAACUGAUAGGCUUGAAUCCAGAAGAGGCAAGUGGAAUUCUAUGUGGAGCGGUGGAAUGCGUAGAUAUAUGGAGGAACACCAGUGGCGAAGGCGGCUUGCUGGGCUGGUAUUGACGCUGAUGCACGAAAGCGUGGGGAGCAAACAGGAUUAGAUACCCUUGUAGUC
rnacentral:rRNA from 1 species